rnacentral:rRNA from 1 species
ACUAAAGUUGUUGCGGUUAAAAAGCUCGUAGUUGGAUCUAUGAAUGUGAACGCGAGGUCGCUUUAUUGAGUGAACUUUGUGGCGCAUUCUUCCCUUUGGUCGGUGUGUUCGUGCUCUUAAUUGAGUGCGACAUGCUACCAGAAAUUUUACCUUGAAAAAAUUAGAGUGUUCAAAGCAGACCUUUUUGUGUCUGAAUAUUCGUGCAUGGAAUAAUAAAAUAUGAAUUCGGUUCUAUUUUAUUGGUUUUCGGAACUCGAGUUAAUGAUUAAGAGGGACAGACGGGGGCAUCCGUACUCUGCCGUUAGAGGUGAAAUUCUUGGAUCGGCGGAAGACGCGCAACUGCGAAAGCAUUUGCCAAGAAUGUUUUCUUUAAUCAAGAACGAUAGUCGGAGGUUCGAAGACGAUCAGAUACCGUCCUAGUUUCGACUGUAAACUAUGCCAGCUAACGAUCAGACAGCGUUCUCUACGACUUGUCUGGCAGUUUCCGGGAAACCAAAGCUUUUGGGUUCCGGGGGAAGUAUGGUUGCAAAGCUGAAACUUAAAGGAAUUGACGGAAGGGCACCACCAGGAGUGGAGCCUGCGGCUUAAUUUGACUCAACACGGGGAAACUCACCCGGCCCGGACACAGUGAGGAUUGACAGAUUGAGAGUUCUUUCUUGAUUCUGUGGGUGGUGGUGCAUGGCCGUUCUUAGUUGGUGGAGCGAUUUGUCUGGUUAAUUCCGAUAACGAACGAGACUCUGGCAUGUUAAAUAGUCGCGGGAGUAAUUUUAACUCACCAUGAGACUUCUUAGAGGGACAAGUGAUUCUAAUCACACGAGAUUGAGCAAUAACAGGUCUGUGAUGCCCUUAGAUGUUCGGGGCCGCACGCGCGCUACAAUGAGUCGAUCAACGAGCGUAUAUUAUUAUCCAAGUCCGAAAGGUCGAGGUAAUCCGUUGAACCCGACUCGUGCUAGGGAUAGGGAAUUGUAAUUGUUUCCCUUGAACGAGGAAUUCCCAGUAAGCGCAAGUCAUCAGCUUGCGUUGAUUACGUCCCUGCCCUUUGUACACACCGCCCGUCGCUACUACCGAUUGAAUGGUUCAGUGAGAUAAUCGGACAGAUAACUUGGCAACUGGCAACAGUUGACGUGCAUAUUUGGAAGACGAUCAAACUUGGUCAUUUAG